rnacentral:rRNA from 1 species
AUUGAACGCUGGCGGCAUGCCUUACACAUGCAAGUCGAACGGUAACAGGUCUUCGGAUGCUGACGAGUGGCGAACGGGUGAGUAAUACAUCGGAACGUGCCCGAUCGUGGGGGAUAACGCAGCGAAAGCUGUGCUAAUACCGCAUACGAUCUACGGAUGAAAGCGGGGGACUCGCAAGGGCCUCGCGCGGACGGAGCGGCCGAUGGCAGAUUAGGUAGUUGGUGGGAUAAAAGCUUACCAAGCCGACGAUCUGUAGCUGGUCUGAGAGGACGACCAGCCACACUGGGACUGAGACACGGCCCAGACUCCUACGGGAGGCAGCAGUGGGGAAUUUUGGACAAUGGGCGCAAGCCCGAUCCAGCCAUGCCGCGUGCAGGAUGAAGGCCUUCGGGUUGUAAACUGCUUUGUACGGAACGAAAAGACCUUCUCUAAUAAAGGGGUGAAGUGACGGUACCGUAAGAAUAAGACACCGGCUAACUACGUGCCAGCAGCCGCGGUAAU